UGCAUUCACUACUGUAAGUCACUCUGGAUAAGAGCGUCUGCUAAAUUACUAAAA
rfam:Salmo salar isolate Sally breed double haploid chromosome ssa07, whole genome shotgun sequence.